AGAAUCAACGCUGGCGGCGUGCCUAACACAUGCAAGUCGCACGAGAAAGUGGAGCAAUCCAUGAGUACAGUGGCGCACGGGUGAGUAACACGUGAAUGAUCUACCUCCGAGUGGGGAAUAACCUAGAGAAAUCUGGGCUAAUACCGCAUAACACUUACGAGUCAAAGCAGCAAUGCGCUUGGAGAGGAGUUCGCGGCCGAUUAGCUAGUUGGCGGGGUAAUGGCCCACCAAGGCGAUGAUCGGUAUCCGGCCUGAGAGGGCGCACGGACACACUGGAACUGAAACACGGUCCAGACUCCUACGGGAGGCAGCAGUGGGGAAUAUUGCGCAAUGGGCGAAAGCCUGACGCAGCGACGCCGCGUGGGGGAUGAAGGCCUUCGGGUUGUAACCCUUUCAGCAGGGACGAAGCGAAGUGACGGUACCUGCAGAAGAAGCGCCGGCUAACUACGUGCCAGCAGCCGCGGU
rnacentral:rRNA from 1 species